CCGCCCACCUGCUCCCGUCAGGUAGCAUGUGCGUGUGUGUUUUCCAGCGCAAGAUGCAGAGAGACGGAGAGCGUGACAGUAGAGUGUUGAUAUAAAAGUUAAAGAAAUAAGGAGAGAAACAGAAGACAACUAGGAGCUACAACUAAAACGGGUUUUACUGGAGACUAUAAAACGGCAGUGGUCGGUAGUUGAGAGUAAAUACAAGUGAGUUAGUAAACUCGUUUGCUGUUGUUAGCUGCUAAUUAGCCGCGCGCUAACUGCUCGCGCUAGCUUGGAAGUGCGGACAUCCCCUUGACUUUCCCUAGAUGAAACCUUUCCCCUGUUUACUGCUUCAAGAAGCCAAACAUGUGGUUUUCUGCGGGGACGCCUUCGUUUCGUGCUUGUCCAGCCUUCUCUGCACAGAAAUUGGUGUGCUGCCAUUACACCGAGUUCGUUAUCCCGGAUGGUUGCAGGACGGCACGACAACAAGAGACGCAUCUCCACCACACAUUUCCCACAGCGAGGAGAGAGACACAGAGAGGAGGGGAGUGACAGAAACAACGAAAAUACACACAGUGAGGAGAACAGUGAGGAGAACAAGGACAGAUGGAACACUUUCUUUUUUCAAAUUUUUGUCAUUGAAAAAAAACAAAAAAACACGUUCACUGGAUCCCUUUUGAUGCUGUAAAUGGAAGUGCAAUGUAAAUGAAAUCCAGACUGAUGUAUUUGGAUUUUUUUUUUAUAAUUAUCCACUUAUUAUUACAGAACAUUAAACCAUUUUUCACCAAUAUUUUAAUGACUGAAUAAAAACAUGAGAUUUG